UCUCCAAACACUGCAUCUUUGCGUCGGAGUUUAAACAAAUUAAACAAAACUUUCAACAACGGAUCUCUUGGUUCUGGCAUCGAUGAAGAACGCAGCGAAAUGCGAUAAGUAAUGUGAAUUGCAGAAUUCAGUGAAUCAUCGAAUCUUUGAACGCACAUUGCGCCCUUUGGUAUUCCGAAGGGCAUGCCUGUUCGAGCGUCAUUUCACCACUCAAGCCUGGCUUGGUAUUGGGCGUCGCGGCUCCGCGCGCCUUAAAGUCUCCGGCUGAGCCAUUCGUCUCUAAGCGUUGUGGAUUUUCUAAUUCGCUUCGGAGUGCGGGUGGCCGCGGCCGUUAAAUCUUUAUUCAAAGGUUGACCUCGGAUCAGGUAGGGAUACC
rnacentral:rRNA from 1 species